rnacentral:pre_miRNA from 1 species
UUCAUACUCCCUCCGAUCCAUAUUAAUUGUCUCAAAUUUGCCAAAAUAUGGAUGUAUCUAUGCCUAAAAAGCGUCUAGAUACAUGUAAUAUUUCGACAAUUAAUAUGGAUCGGAGGGAGUAGUAU